rnacentral:rRNA from 1 species
GGGUUGUGAGGUUAAGCGACUAAGCGUACACGGUGGAUGCCCUGGCAGUCAGAGGCGAUGAAGGACGUGCUAAUCUGCGUAAAGCGUCGGUAAGGUGAUAUGAACCGCUACAGCCGACGAUGUCCGAAUGGGGAAACCCGGUGCACUCUGUGCAUCAUCGCAACAUGAAUACAUAGUGUUGCGAGGCGAACCUGGGGAACUGAAACAUCUAAGUACCCAGAGGAAAAGAAAUCAACCGAGAUUCCCCCAGUAGCGGCGAGCGAACGGGGAGCAGCCCAGAACCUGAAUCAGUUUGUGCAUUAGUGGAAGCGUCUGGAAAGUCGCAGGGUACAGGGUGAUACUCCCGUACACAAAAAUGCACAUACUGUGAGUUCGAAGAGUAGGGCGGGACACGUGGUAUCCUGUCUGAAUAUGGGGGGACCAUCCUCCAAGGCUAAAUACUCCUGACUGACCGAUAGUGAACCAGUACCGUGAGGGAAAGGCGAAAAGAACCCCGGCGAGGGG